rnacentral:rRNA from 1 species
UACGGGGGGAGCAAGCGUUGUUCAGAUUUACUGGGCGUAAAGGGCGCGUAGGCGGCCACCGCAAGUCGAUUGUGAAAUCUCCGGGCUUAACCCGGAAAGGUCAACCGAUACUGCGGGGCUAGAGUGCAGAAGGGGCAACUGGAAUUCUCGGUGUAGCGGUGAAAUGCGUAGAUAUCUGGAGGAACACCGGUGGCGAAGGCGGCAUCCUGGACCAACACUGACACUGAGGAGCGAAAGCCAGGGGAGCAAACGGG